AUUGAACGCUGGCGGCAUGCUUUAUACAUGCAAGUCGAACGGUAACAGCACUUCGGUGGCUGACGAGUGGCGAACGGGUGAGUAAUACAUCGGAACGUGCCUAGUAGUGGGGGAUAACUACUCGAAAGAGUAGCUAAUACCGCAUGAGAUCUAAGGAUGAAAGCAGGGGACCUUCGGGCCUUGCGCUACUAGAGCGGCUGAUGGCAGAUUAGGUAGUUGGUGGGAUAAAAGCUUACCAAGCCGACGAUCUGUAGCUGGUCUGAGAGGACGACCAGCCACACUGGGACUGAGACACGGCCCAGACUCCUACGGGAGGCAGCAGUGGGGAAUUUUGGACAAUGGGCGCAAGCCUGAUCCAGCAAUGCCGCGUGCAGGAUGAAGGCCUUCGGGUUGUAAACUGCUUUUGUACGGAACGAAAAGCCCUCUUCUAAUACAGGAGGGUCAUGACGGUACCGUAAGAAUAAGCACCGGCUAACUACGUG
rnacentral:rRNA from 1 species